ensembl:ncRNA F18H3.7 ncRNA
AACGCUUGUGUGUUUAAAACCGUCUUUGCAAUCCAGGCUGAGUAGUACAAAAGUCUAAAUGCUUC